UAAGGUAAAGGAUAAGCUUAUGUACUUCACUUCAUACAGUUGUCAUGGGGUGGACCAGUCAGAGAAUACGAUAGCAGAUGCCUUGGCAAGGCUGGCAACAACUGAAGCAAGCUCUUUCAAUGGAUCAGUGUACUUGGAGGUUCUGGAAAAACCCAGUGUCCCGAAGACAGAAAUCUUGGCUUUGGACCGGCUCAAUUGCUGUCUCAC
rnacentral:lncRNA from 1 species